rnacentral:rRNA from 1 species
AAAAUGUGGAGCCGUAGCGAAAGCGAGUCUGAAUAGGGCGAAUGAGUAUUUGGUCGUAGACCCGAAACCAGGUGAUCUACCCUUGGUCAGGUUGAAGUUCAGGUAACACUGAAUGGAGGACCGAACCGACUUACGUUGAAAAGUGAGCGGAUGAACUGAGGGUAGCGGAGAAAUUCCAAUCGAACUUGGAGAUAGCUGGUUCUCUCCGAAAUAGCUUUAGGGCUAGCCUCAAGUGAUGAUUAUUGGAGGUAGAGCACUGUUUGGACGAGGGGCCCCUCUCGGGUUACCGAAUUCAGACAAACUCCGAAUGCCAAAUAAUUUAACUUGGGAGUCAGAAUGUGGGUGAUAAGGUCCAUAUUCGAAAGGGAAACAGCCCAGACCACCAGCUAAGGUCCCAAAAUAUAUGUUAAGUGGAAAAGGAUGUGGCGUUGCCCAGACAACUAGGAUGUUGGCUUAGAAGCAGCCAUCAUUUAAAGAGUGCGUAAUAGCUCACUAGUCGAGUGACACUGCGCCGAAAAUGUACCGGGGCUAAACAUAU